UUGUCCUACGGGGGGCAGCAGUGAGGAAUAUUGGUCAAUGGGCGGGAGCCUGAACCAGCCAAGCCGCGUGAAGGAAGAAGGCGCCAAGCGUCGUAAACUUCUUUUGUCGGGGAACAAAGGGCGCCACGUGUGGCGUUGUGAGUGUACCCGAAGAAAAAGCAUCGGCUAACUCCGUGCCAGCAGCCGCGGUAAUACGGAGGAUGCGAGCGUUAUCCGGAUUUAUUGGGUUUAAAGGGUGCGCAGGCGGGAGAUCAAGUCAGCGGUAAAAUGUCGGGGCUCAACCCCGGCCGGCCGUUGAAACUGGU
rnacentral:rRNA from 1 species